rnacentral:rRNA from 1 species
UGGGGAAUAUUGGACAAUGGGCGCAAGCCUGAUCCAGCCAUGCCGCGUGAGUGAUGAAGGCCCUAGGGUUGUAAAGCUCUUUCACCGGUGAAGAUAAUGACGGUAACCGGAGAAGAAGCCCCGGCUAACUUCGUGCCAGCAGCCGCGGUAAUACGAAGGGGGCUAGCGUUGUUCGGAUUUACUGGGCGUAAAGCGCACGUAGGCGGACUUUUAAGUCAGGGGUGAAAUCCCGGGGCUCAACCCCGGAACUGCCUUUGAUACUGGAAGUCUUGAGUAUGGUACAGGUGAGUGGAAUUCCGAGUGUAGAGGUGAAAUUCGUAGAUAUUCGGAGGAACACCAGUGGCGAAGGCGGCUCACUGGACCAUUACUGACGCUGAGGUGCGAAAGCGUGGGGAGCAAACAGG